GGCUAACAAAGAGAAGCUUCAACACCAGGAAGAAGACAUUCCUGUCUAAUCAGAGACAAGCGAUUCCUGUGUGCUCGGAAGAGGAACCUCGUCUUAGAAGGCUUGACAUACUUUGAAAAGAUGGCCUUUAGAAGCAAGGUGAAGCUACAGUCAGUUGUGUGAGACAUGGUCUGCAGGAGGAAAAACUGAUGUCUUUUCAGAAGCUUCAGGAGACAUGGUUUUGAUCCCUGGGUCAGGAAGAUUCCCUGGAGGAGGAAAUGGCUAUCCACUCAAGUAUUCUUGCCUGGGAAAUCCCAUCGACAGAAGGAGCCUGACGGGCUACAGUCCAUAGGGUCACAAAGAGUUGGACGUGACUGAAUACGCACACAUGCGUGUUAACUUUUCAGCAACUGGUUUCUUUUUCUCCU